UACGGGGGGGGCAAGCGUUGUUCGGAAUUACUGGGCGUAAAGGGCUCGUAGGUGGCCAACUAAGUCAGACGUGAAAUCCCUCGGCUUAACCGGGGAACUGCGUCUGAUACUGGAUGGCUUGAGUUCGGGAGAGGGAUGCGGAAUUCCAGGUGUAGCGGUGAAAUGUGUAGAGAUCGGGAGGAACACCGGUGGCGAAGGCGGCCUUCUGGACGGUGACUGACGCUGAGGCGCGAAAGCGUGGGAGCAAACGGGAUUGAGAU
rnacentral:rRNA from 1 species